ensembl:ncRNA C48G7.4 ncRNA
ACUUUUUCGACAAAAGAACGACGCAAUCGGUGUUGCGAAAGCUUCUCACGGGAUCGUGUGCCGCACUUUUUUCCGUAUCCGUUCGUUUCGAUGGUAGGUGAAUAGUCAGAAAAUAUGCAGACAAGACGUUCUUCACGGUCAAC